GGGGUGGUAGCUCAAUGGUUAGAGCUUAUAUCUCGUAACCGGAAGGUCCCGGGAUCGAAUCCCGCCAGAGGCA
rnacentral:tRNA from 1 species